rnacentral:rRNA from 1 species
AACUUUCAACAACGGAUCUCUUGGUUCUCGCAUCGAUGAAGAACGCAGCGAAAUGCGAUAAGUAAUAUGAAUUGCAGCCUUUGUGAAUCAUCGAAUCUUUGAACGCACAUUGCGCCUUGGGGUAUUCCCCAAGGCAUGCCUGUUUGAGCGUCAGAC